rnacentral:rRNA from 1 species
GAUGAACGCUGGCGGCGUGCCUAAUACAUGCAAGUCGAGCGAACGGACGAGAAGCUUGCUUCUCUGAUGUUAGCGGCGGACGGGUGAGUAACACGUGGAUAACCUACCUAUAAGAUUGGGAUAACUUCGGGAAACCGUAGCUAAUACCGGAUAAUAUUUUGGACCGCAUGGUUCAAAAGUGAAAGACGGUCUUGCUGUCACUUAUAGAUGGAUCCGCGCUGCAUUAGCUAGUUGGUAAGGUAACGGCUUACCAAGGCAACGAUGCAUAGCCGACCUGAGAGGGUGAUAGGCCACACUGGAACUGAGACACGGUCCAGACUCCUACGGGAGGCAGCAGUAGGGAAUCUUCCGCAAUGGGCGAAAGCCUGACGGAGCAACGCCGCGUGAGUGAUGAAGGUCUUCGGAUCGUAAAACUUUGUUAUUAGGGAAGAACAUAUGUGUAAGUAACUGUGCACAUCUUGACGGUACCUAAUCAGAAAGCCACGGCUAACUACGUG